CCUACGGGAGGCAGCAGUGAGGAAUAUUGGUCAAUGGACGAGAGUCUGAACCAGCCAAGUAGCGUGAAGGAUGACUGCCCUAUGGGUUGUAAACUUCUUUUAUAUGGGAAUAAAACGUUCAACGUGUGGGAUUUUGUAUGUACAAUAUGAAUAAGGAUCGGCUAACUCCGUGCCAGCAGCCGAGGUAAUACGGAGGAUCCGAGCGUUAUCCGGAUUUAUUGGGUUUAAGGGGAGCGUAGGUGGAUUGUUAAGUCAGUUGUGAAAGUUUGCGGCUCAACCGUAAAAUUGCAGUUGAAACUGGCAGUCUGGAGUACAGGAGAGGUGGGCGGAAUGCGUGGUGUAGCGGUGAAAUGCUUAGAUAUCACGAAGAACUCCGAUUGCGAAGGCAGUUCACUGGACUGCAACUGACACUGAGGCUCGAAAGUGUGGGUAUCAAACAGGAUUAGAUACCCCAGUAGUC
rnacentral:rRNA from 1 species